rnacentral:piRNA from 1 species
UGGAAAACCUUAGCUCAAAAAUGUUCUC